rnacentral:tRNA from 1 species
GGCCCUGUGGCCUAAUGAAUAAGGCCUUGCUUUCCCAAAGCGAAGACUGCAGGUUUGAGUCUUGCCUGGGCCA